CCACUGCAACUACCAAAAGUCAAGACCAUAUCUGAGGUUACUUUCAGUCAGAACAAAAUAUGCCAUUCUCAUUGCACUCUGAUCAGACAAAACAACCUUAAGACAUUGAUUUGACAAGGCAACACUGUGAUUCUCAAAGGUUAAUCUAUUGUCCAUUAAAAUACUUAAAUAUUUUAAACUGACUGGAUUGUUUAACUUAUAUGUAUCAAGAACAACAUUUGCAAGAUUACAUCUAAAAAGACAAUCGGAAUGAUGCCACAAGAUUCUGGUAUCAUCAGCAAAGAGAGUUAAAUGACCCCUGAUUUCUACUAAACAGAUAUCAUUGACAUAUAAAAGGCACAACAGUGUUCCCAGUAAUGACCCCCUGUGGAACACCACAAUAAAUAGUCAAUGUUGUCCGAAUCGCAACCUGCGUAGGAAACAUACUAAACCCUCUCAGAAAGACUUCCGAAAUGGUAUUUCUGAGUCAAAAACUUUUGUCAAGUCACAAAACACUGCUUCAAAAACCUCACCCCGAUUAAACCAACCUAUAGAUGUUCCAGAAAAAAAAAGAAAGCAUCAGUAACUUUCUUAUUCUUAAAACCAAAUUGGUUUGAGUUGAUGUUAUCUUUACUCAAAAAUCCAAGGGCUCUAAGUUUAACUCGCCUUUCUAUGAUCUUAGAGGGAGUUGGAAGAAGGGAUAUGGGCCUAUAGUUUGUGGAACAAGAAUUAUCACCGACCUUCUGCAAUGGAACGACUAUAGCACUUUUUAGUACUUAUUAUAUAUCAUAACUUAAUCAGGGAAAUGACAUUAAAAAAAAAAGCAUUUACCACAUCAACCAAAGAAUUCAAAGCAGAAUCACCUAAAUCCCGGAAUAUCUGGGCAGACAUACAAAUGGUAUAAUACAACUAACUUAAAACCUGUAUAUAAACAAUAUAUUAAUAAUUAAUUAAAGAAACAUAAUAAGAAUUAUCAAAAAUUAAACUUGUCACAACAACUACCUCAUUGUUCCCAAAUAAAUAAAUAAAUAAAUGAAUAAUUAACACAGUUAAUUAAAUACAUGAAGUAUGUUAUUUAAUUUUGAGAUUGCAAAUUCUGGACCUUGACUGUUGCAAGAUGCAAUCAAAAGCUUUUUAGUAAAUUAUAAUCAAUUUUAGUCACAGUGUAAGCAUUGCAUAAUUUACUAUGUAACAAGAACACUAUCCAUGUUAAUCAUAGUGAAAAAUACAUAAUAUGAUUGUUUCUAGUCCUUUUUUUUAAAUAAAUUACUCAAGAAUCAGACGAGACCCUCGUAGGAGAGCUAAUAGUGGAUACAAAAUCAAACUGUUUAGAUAAAUGCAUUGUCUCUUCAUCAAUGUGCUGUUUGUUGAGGGAAUUUAGUGUUUUAAUUUAAAAUAUGCAACAAUCAAAUUGAUACUUCUUAUUUCUUAAAACUUAUGGGUUCAAUUUAACCAAGAAAGAACCCAUCUAUGAAGCAUACAACUGGUUCAAUGAUAUUCAGUGACGG